CUAGGGAGGACCUUCCCUUGGGAGUCUGAGAUAAAAGCUCAGCUCUAAGCUUGUCUUGACUGAUCAGGACUCCUCAGUUCACCAUGAGGCUCCCUGCUCAGCUCCUGGGGCUGCUAUUGCUCUGCGUCCCCGGAUCCAGUGGGGAUGUUGUGAUGACUCAGUCUCCACUCUCCCUGCCCAUCACCCCUGGACAGCCGGCCUCCAUCUCCUGCAGGUCUAGUCAAAGCCUUGUACACAGCAAUGGAAACACAUACUUGAGUUGGUAUCAGCAGAAGCCAGGCCAACCUCCAAGGCGCCUAAUUUAUGAGGUUUCUAACCGGGACUCUGGGGUCCCAGACAGAUUCAGCGGCAGUGGGGCAGGGACAGAUUUCACACUGAAAAUCAGCAGAGUGGAGGCUGAGGAUGUUGGGGUUUAUUACUGCGGGCAAGGUACACACCUUCCUCCCACAGUGGUACAGCCCUGAACAAAAACCUCCCUA